rnacentral:lncRNA from 1 species
CUCUCUCGCACGAUCUGCUCCCGGACUCCUUCAGCGCGCUGCCUGCCUGCCCAGGGCCUUCCCGGAGAGCAGGUGACGGCGGCCUCCGGGCAUGGAGCUCGCGCUGACGAAAGGUUCUGGAAGCCGCCGUAAAAAGUAAUCAAGAAACGGGUGACAGGACUUUUCCCUGACCAACAUGAUGAAACCCCAUCUAAAAAUACAAAACAAUUAGCCGGACUGUAGUGGUGCACGCCUGUAAUCGCAGCUACUCAGAAGGCUGAGGCAGGAGAAUUGCUUGCAUCCAGGAGGUGGAGGUUGCAGUGAGCUGAGAUCACGCCAUUGCACUCCAGCCUAGGCGACAGACCCUUUGAGGAACCGUUUGAGGUGUGGCACGAUACAGCAAGUCAGCUGCCAAAGAGGGGCUUAGCCACAGGAAGUGCGUGCCCAGAACGCAUCUCCCGUGUCCCUCACAGCAGUUCUAUGAGGCUGGCUGCCCUGUUUGACAACUGAGGCCCGCAUCUUCCCCGGAAUCACCGACGUGUGGCUCUGAGCCCUGUCCCAGGGAUUUUCUCCAUCAGAGAAGAGGAGCACUUUGAGCUUUGAGAGGAGCAGCCCUCUGCAAGUGAAGUGGAAAAAAAGGAAGCAGGCGAGGAGGCCCAUCCAGACCCUCCCCCAAGACCCUUGCUGAAAUGGCUGGGAUGCGGCGUGCAGAAGCUCUCCUUUCCUUCACAGCCCCUGGCUUUCCAAGAGUCCCUGCCCACCCAGAUGCCCGCUGGCAGAUGCAGCCUCAUCUCAAGGACACUGCUUGCUGGAUAAAUCCCUCACCACCCUAGAGACAGCCCACGGUCCUGAGACAAGGAUGCGGGCCAGGCUUGUUGCACGUAAGCGCCUCCCGCAGAAACCAGUGAGGCCGGAGUUCCAGAGGAAAUGAUGUAGGGACAGAGGCAGAGGGCCUCCAGGAGGCACCAGCCCCAGAGUCUUCCCUAGAAUCAGACUUUAAGCACAAGCAGGGAGGGAAAGCACUUGAGCAGUGCCCGUCCCUGCAUACCUGGCCUCUGCUGGAACCCAUGCAGGGACAGGACACUUCUUUAUCAGCAAUCCUGUUCCUCUCCUGGGCAGCUUCAACCUGAACAUCCUCCUUCACCUUGAGCUAAAAUGGGUUUCUUGUCACCCUUGCCCAUCAAACCUGGCCUUGCCCUCAGGAACCACACAGGACAAGCCUAAUACUUCCUUCUUGUGGCAACACUUUAGCAAUUGAGACCUGGCUGUCAGGUCCUCCAAAUAAACAUUUGUGACUGUGAUGUUGACUUGCCGCUUCUGGGGACCUCUUCUCAUUUGAUCGGAGAAAGUUUUUCAGGGUUAAACCUACUUCUUUCCCCCAAGAAACUCUUCUUGUCAGGCUCACGCCUAUAAUCCUGGCACUUUGGGAGGCCAAGGCAGGAGGAUUGUUUGAGACCAGCCUGGGCAACGUAGGUAGACUAUGUUGCUACAAAAAGAAAAAGAAAAAAUGGCCAGGUGUAGUAGUCCCAGCUGCUUGGAGGCUGAGGUAGGAGGUUUGCUUGAGCCCAGGAGGUCGAGGCUGCAGUGAGCUAUGAUUGUGCCACUGCACUCUAGCCUGGGAGACAGAAUGAGGCCCUGUCUCAAAAAAAAAAAAAAAAAAAAAAAGAUGAUGAAACUCCUCACGUAUUUCUCCCCGGAGCAUGUGCUCCCAGGCUCAAAUCCACAGCAGCCUCGUUACACACACGUCAUCCCCUGGCCCCGAGAUAUUGCACCGCCUUCCCCUUUCUAGCUCUGAACCCCCACAUGAAGCAGCCAGACGUAGGAAAACCCAGAUUCAUAAAGCGCUGAUAUGGGUGGUCCUUUACCAAAGGAUUUUCUGCUUUACAAAGUAAUUCACCAAAUGAUUUCCCUAGAGUAUGGGCAGAGAUUUGCAAACUACAGCUUGGAACCAAGCUGCCUUUUUUUUAUAAUAAAGUUUUAUCAGGAUGCAUCCACAUCCAUUCAUCUCUGUGGUGCCAGCUGCUCUAGCUACACAGGCAGAGUGGAAGAGUUGCAGAUGGCCAACAAAACCUAAACUGUUUACCGCCUGGCCCCUUAUAGAAGCAGCUGGCUGACGCUGGCUCCAGGGCAUCAGAAAUGGGACCAUUGGAAAGGAGUAGCCGGGCUACAUGGUUUUUCUUCUGCCCCACGUCUUGUUCUCAAACAUGCUUCCUCCCCAGUCAUCUGAGGAAUGUCAGUCUGAGACAGUCAGGAGCAGGUGUGCCUAGGGAUGCAUGGUUUCUGAAAAUGGGGUGGGGUCUUUUAGGCUGAGGGCUCUGGCAGCUUCUGUCUGAAGGCUGAGCUGAGCUGAGCAGAGCUGGGCAUGGUGGCUCACGCCUGUAGUCCCGGCUACUCAGGAGGCCAAGGUGGGAGAAUCACUUGAGCCUGGGAAGUUCAGAGGAGCCUGGGCAACACAGUGAGACCUCAUCUUUAUUUUUUGAAAUUUUUUGUUUUUAUUAUUUUUUUAAUUUUUAGGAGCAGAGGGUUAAUAGGCAAAAGAAAGAGAGAGAGGAAAACAGCUCUCUCCAGUGAGAGAGAGGGUACUUCUGAAAGGAAAACGCCACCGGCAGCAGAUGCACUGGAUUUUAUAGUCAGGCUUGAGGAGGUGGUGUCUGAUUUACAUAGGGCUCACAGAUUGGUUCAGUCAGGUAUGAUGUUUACAUAGCGCUGGGGUGUGGGGAAGGCUGACCUCCCCACUCUAAUCUUAUUAUGCAAAUGAACUUUCCCCUUGGCCAGCACCAUCUUGUCUGCUCCUUACUGUGCACGUGGCUGGCAGAGAAGGGAAGAUGGAGCCGCCAUUUUGAACAUGAUUGGCACAACUGCCUGCAUCUAUGUCUGCAGCUCGAUUUUACACGCUGCUCUUUGUUAGAAAGGAAAAUGAUUUGGGGCUGCUUUUCAGUAAAAGGAAAACCUUACUGAGGACUUCUGUAUCCUCACUAUCUAAGUAAUUUCCUCUUAACUCCUGUAUCAUUCCCCACUCUGGAGUGGUAACCCUAACUGCUCUUCGGGGUUGUUUGAUGAUGACUCUUUCUGGCUACUUCAUACUUAAAAGGGGUGUUGUGUGGGGAACAGAAGCUAAGGGCUCCUCCUGGGGUCGAGCUAAGGGUCCUCGGAAAAAAGGCAUGUCCGUGCAUGGUUCUGUCUGCAGCACCAUUUAGAGUUUGAUUACUGUCAGCCAUUCUGAUGGGUUGUAACACUGGUUUGCCUCCACCAGAUGUUGAGAUAGUUUCCAGAUUCCAGAGAAACCAGG